rnacentral:lncRNA from 1 species
CCUGCACUGUUGUAAGCAACCUCGGCAUCAGCACCUUUCCUAUAAACUACUCUAGCCCGGUUAUUUUCCUUGUCAACUUCAGUUUGCGACUCCUUUAUUGGUCCAAAAUGCCUAAACAUUUUACUCAGGCUCUUCUCAGCAGGUAUAGUAUCCACUUCAGAAAACUUCAUUACAAGUUCAGCUGGUGCAUUCUCAUCAAAGUUUGCCGGUUUGUCUGAGACUGAAAGAGGAAUAUUGAUCUGAGUCUGUCGUCUUCUGUAAGGUCGACGAGUCUUUUGAACCUGAGCAGGUUUCAACUCAACUGGCACAACUUGAUAAUUUCCUUUCUCAGUCGGUGACGUUUGCUCUUCACCACCAUUAUGAAUCACUCUGUCUGUCCAGUAUGUGUCGCCCAUUUCCUCAAACUCAAAUGCUUCAGUUUCUGUCACAUUAGAAUUGGAUGGUCUACCUCUUUUCUUGCUUACCUUUUCUAGGGUACCUUGCUGCAAAGCCGACGAGUUUCGGAAAUCUAAGAAAAAGCCAGCAGCAGUGUGAGAUAAAACGUUCUCUUUAUCAGGGUCUGUUGCUGCAUAGUGAAGCUGGGACACAAAACUCUCAACAGAAAGAGUGUCACCAUCAAAGUUACUACCCUUCAAAACUGAAGGCGAUUCUGCCAUCUGACUAGCAACUCUGGCUAUGCAUGCACCAAUCUUAAAGGAGGGCCUUUGUGCAAAAGACACCUUUGCCAAUGAGACAGUCUUCCUACCUUCUCCUGGUAAAUCCUCACUCAGGACAUCAGCCUUUCGUUUCACACCAUUCGCCUUAAUAUCAGAACCAGCUUCAUCCGUCCAGUAUGUGUUGCCCAUUUCCUCAAACUCGAAUGCUUCAGUUCCCGUUACAUUAGAAUUACUGGGAUCUUCUUCCAUAUCUGUAUCUUCCUUUUGAUUUGGCUCGAUACUUCGGGCUUCAUGAGUAAUGUCCUCUUCCUCUCUCGUUGUAUAUUCUUGAUCUGCUGUUUUCUUAUCGAAGCAUUCAUGAUCUUUGUUUUCAUGAUUUUCUUCAGAUCCCAAAAUUGCAUGAGAGGCCUCUUUUGAACAAUCGAUGGCAGCAGGUGGAGAUUUUUCUCCAGAAGCAACACAUGCUCCACUCGAUCCAUUUUCAAUACCAACCAAGGCAUCUUCCUCUGCCAUAUCAGCAGCUUUCUUAUCCUCUUUCAAAGAAAUAUUCCUGGUGUCGGUUUUAAUGUCUUGUAUAUUUCCUGACCAAGAUGAUACACCACUGAAAUCAAUAAAGUUGGUAAUAUCAGAAGUUGGAUCAAAAAGAGCAUGAUGAUCCAACGGUUCAACUUCACCUGGAUCAGCAUUUUCAGAGGGACUGUUUGGGUUUGCUAAAUCAGUAGAAAUAAUUGUUCCGGUAAGAUCACUUGCCGCAUCACCAUUAUCUUUCCGUUCGUCAAUUUCCAUUUCCUCUCGUACAUUUGAAGUAUUCACAUUAGCGUCAGCUACUGGAAUAUCUUUAACAUCAUCUUCCACCUGUUCCUCUGUCGCAUUAUCAACCUCCAUGGCUUCUCCGUUUUCUUCAUUUUGGUUCACAUUGGUUAUUUGUCCUUCAUCAUUUAUUUCAGCAGCAGAGCUAACUUCCAAAACAGUACCUGGAUUUACUUCGUUUGUUUCCCUUUCACUCAAUUGAAUAGACUCCUCUAGAACUAUAGCAUCUUUGGUCUCUGAUCCCACAUUCUCUUCAUUCCCCUGUUUGCUAUCAUCAUCCAUAUUAUUAUCAUCCACUUCACUCUUCUUUGCUGAUUCCUUCUCUUGAAUAACAUCAGAUGUCUCGCAUAGUUUCUCUUGUUCGCCAUCACCACCCAUUCCUUUAUCAUCCUCCUUCUCUUGGCCAGCUUUCGUUUCAGCAAUAUCCUCAACUUCACAAUUUUCCUUCUCAUCAGAUACUUCAUUCCCACCAGAGAUAACACUUUCCCCUUCUCCUGCACUUUCCUGACUUUCACCAUGGUUAACUUCAGACUUAGGCGUCUCACCAUUUCUCUCAACUUCAAGAUCUGUGGUAGCAUCAGUCAGUGCAACAUCAUCAACAACAUUAUCUUUAGGUUCCUCACCAGUAACCUCAACAACAUCAUCAUCUUCAACGUUAUGUUUAAUCUCCUCCCCACUAACCUCAACAUCAUCAUCAGCUUUCACAUGUUCCUCAUCAGAAACAAAAUGAUCCAUAUUGCCAUCUCCAGUAGCUAAAACUCCAUUAGUUGGAUCUGCAUCAAUCCCACUAACACCUAAUUCCGAAACCUGUACCGUGUUUGUAAACUCACCACCUAGGGUUUCAGUUUUAGAAGGUAAACCUAAUCCCUUACCAGCUUCCUCCUCCAUGGGCUCAUUGAAAAACUCACUCUCCUCUCUCUGUUCCUCCAUUAAAACUGUAUCCGGGUUGCAGCUCAAAAUCACUCAAUACAUCGAUGGAUCUUACACAAACGAAAUUACGAAACUUGGCAACUGGGUAAGACAAGUUCCAGAAUCAAAAACGAGAAAGACGAUUUUUUUGGAAUUUACCUCUAAGAUCUUGCGAGAAUUUGAGUAAAGAAACACAAAAGGGAAGAGCUUUGAGCUUGAAGAAGCGAAUUGUAGAAGAUGCUCUAGGAGAGAGAAAACAUACGAUCUCGUUUAAUCGAACUUUUAUUUCUGACACAGUCCCCAAUCUUUUAUCAAGUUUUAUAUUUAAGAUCAAAAGUUUCGAAAUGUACUAAAAUAACCUUUUUAAUUUGCCGUAAUUGUGCACUUUGAAUUUAAAAGGUGCUAAAAUAACCUUUCAUUAUAAAAAUUUAACGAACAAUUAAAACUGACUGUAAUUAGAACUUAUACAUAUACCACCUCUAUGUAUUACAUUCACAAAUAAUUAAGUUAACUAUUCUAUUUGAAGUAAUGUUUAUUUCUGAAAAUUCUUUUAUUAAUGGUUUUAACUUUUAACUAAAUACAUGAUGUAUUAACACUUAUAUACUAAAUUAGAGUUUGAAUCCCACUGAACUUGCUUACCAAAAUGUCGCAUAUAGAGUUGUUUGUAGUGUUUUCGUGAGUUGUAGAGAGAGCAUGUCCAUUAUGGGAUCUACAAACAUUUUUUUGUUGGGGGCAAAAAUUGAUUAAUUUUUGGAAAAAAUCAUAUUUUUCUAUGAGAACUAUCGAAUUGUAUCAGAGUCAAUGUCUUAUACAACUAUGAAAAAUUAUUUCUCAACCUAUAUUCACAUGAAUGCAUAGUUUAAUGUUUGAUUAACCAAAAAAUGGAAAAAAAUAACCUCAUUAAAUCUGAUUUUAAUCCAAAUAAAAGCCGGCCUGAUUUGUAAAUGACCUAACUCGAUAUCUUCUUCUGUAAGUGGAGUCGCGAGAUCAGUGAUUAUCGUUAAAGGUUGUAUAUAGUUUAAGAUCAUAGAGAAGAAGAUGGAGGAAGAAGAAGGGUGGAUUAAUCACUCAAUGAUUUUUCUCUCUUUUUAUUAUUUAGGUUCUUGAAGUUUUGAUAUGGGCUCAAAAUUGUGAUAUGGAUUCAUUUUGCUACAUUUUGAAAGUUUGGAGAAAGUGGCGAGAGAGAUUAUCAAUGACAGUUCACUUAAGCACGUGAUAAUAUCUUUGCUAUGUUUCUGCUUUUGUAAUUUUAAAUUUUCAUCAAAUUUGAUUUUUGUUUUCUUUUUUCUUGAGAAAUUGGAUGGAGAAUGAAUAGAUAUUGGCUCGGAUCAUUUAUGAAUUGGAUCGGUUUUAAAUUUGGUUUGGUAUCAAUGUUAAGCAGCUUGGUAUUUGGUUUAGUUUGUAAACCGACUAAACCAAGAUCUAUGAGGAAUUAGGUGGAAACUAUGCAUUCGUGGGGAACUAGGUUUGAAGAAAUUUUUUCUGAGAACAUAUAAGACGUGGUGUGAGCUCUAUAAAAUAUGAUGUCAUAGUUUGGGUGAGGAAAUAGGACAUUAUCCUUUAAAUUUUAGAUAUUAGAGCAAGCAGGAAAAAUGUAAACCAUAUUUUUUAUUUACAUUGAGAAAUGAAGGUUUAUUAAUUUUUGAUGAGGGCGCUUGCACGGUUGUAAUGCACCGAACCAAAACCGAGCCUAAAAAAACGGAACCGAAACCAAAUCAAAAAUUUUUAAAGACCAAAUGGAUCUUAUACUCAAGAUCCGAAAGUAUCCAAAACCAAAUUAUACCGAACUGAAACCGAAUGGAUAUCCGAAAUAUUUAAAAUACAAUUUAUAUACUUAAAAUAUUUGUUUUUUAGACAAAAAAAACUUUUAAAAAAAUAUAUAAAAAGAAACAAAGAUAACCGAUAGUCAAACCAAACAACUAAAAAACAUUCAAAAUAUGCAAAUAUCCGAAACAAAGCAGCACCUAAAAAUAUAAAAAUACUCAAAAAUAUCCCAAAAUUUCUGAAUAUCAUAACAUAUCCAAUUUUUUUUGGUUAAAACCAAACCAAAAAUAAUCCAAAAAUAUUAAAUAAUUAGAUCAGUUUUUUGUUCAAGAUCUGAAACCGAACCGAAAUCGAAAGUAACCGAAUCAAAACCAAACUGAAUAUCUGAACGCCCAGGACUAGUUGCACCCAUACCUCAAGCUAUAGGUCUGUCCUAAUGGGGAUGUCGUACAAGCAGAACUUUCUAUUGUAGUAGAUUUGAGUGUCGCAUUGAAAUCUGCACCUUAAGAUUCAUUGUUUUGUGAGAACUGUUCAUAACAAUCAUCAUAAUAUAUCAAAACAUCUCUAAUGUUUAAUUACAUCUACAUGUUUACUUAACUUGUGAUUGGAAUUAUAUAGCUCAAUAAAUGUGAAUAUGGUCAACAAUAAUUGUAGUUUAUAGUUAAUUGCUUGUGAGUGUGAUCGACUAUAUAUAGAUUUGUGAAUGUAAUCAAAUAUUAGUACGUAGUAUCCUAUCAACUUUUCAUAUGAUAUAUACUAGUUCUAGUUAAUAACAUGUUAGCGUGGAGUAAGAGAGCUUUAUAAAUCUUCUCGACUUCAAAAAUAAUCCAUAUUUUAGCUACAUGCCAUUAGAUAUCUUGAAGAAACUCUAAUAUAAUUUCAUGUUUCAGCUUUGAGAAUCGGACACUAAGAAAUUGAUCGAUCCGUAUAAAGAUUUGAUCGAACUACGGUAUUGGCAAAAUCAUUAAACUUCUAUCGAUCUCUUAGAAUACAAAAAGGGAACUGUCUCUCUAACCUCCAAGAUAGCAGAUAGAAUUCUUGAACUUGCAUGAUCUCCCCUAAAACCUUAAUCUCUACCUAAAGGAUAACAACAACAACAACAAGAAGAAGCAAGAGCAUCCAAUCUAUUGAGCUACGUCGUCAUCGUGUACUUCUCUUGAUGCAUGCCGAUUCUUUCACCUGAAAUACAAGAUCAACCAUUCUGUCUGAAUCCAAAUUCAAUUUAGGACUCCUUGAAGAAUCCAUAAAAACAAGAAGUAAAGAUAUUAUGCAUAUGUCUCUUCUUAGACUACCUACACUGAAAAAUCUACACCUAUGUUAUUAUUACUACCAUCCAUAAUAAAAGGAGAAGAAAGAAUAUACUAUACAUUCAGAGAUACAGCACACCAGCUUUCAAAUCAGUAAGGCUUUAUUUUAUAGUUAAAGCAUUUGGAUAACAAAAGAAGCAGAUUUACCUGAACUAUGCCUGAAGCGACUACAUCUAGGAUGGGAGACAUAGUGCUGCAUCCUCCUCGCCUGAAGACACAACAUUAGGCCGAUCAUUUAAUGUUUCAGUUAUCGUAUAGCUGAGCUCGUAAUUCACAGCUUUCGUCCCAAAUAUACUGAACCUUCCUGCGCUGUUGUAAGCAACCUCGGCAUCAGCACCCUUCCUAUAAACUACUCUAGCCCGUUUAUUUUCCUUGUCAACUUCAGUUUGCGACUCCUUUAUUGGUCCAAAACGCUUAAACAUUUUACUCAGGCUCUUCUCAGGAGGUAUAGUAUCCACUUCAGAAAACUUCAUUACAAGUUCAGCUGGUGCAUUCUCAUCAAAGUUUGCCGGUUUGCCAGAGACUGAAAGAGGAAUAUUGAUCUGAGUCUGUCGUCUUCUGUAAGGCCGACGAGUCCUUUGAACCUGAGCAGGUUUUAACUCAACUGGCACAACUUGAUAAUUUCCUUUUUCAGUCGGUGAUGUUUGCUCUUCACCACCAUUAUGGAUCACUCUGUCCGUCCAGUAUGUGUCGCCCAUUUCCUCAACCUUGUAUGCUUCAGUUCCUG